UACGUAGGGUGCAAGCGUUAAUCGGAAUUACUGGGCGUAAAGCGUGCGCAGGCGGGCUUUUAAGCCAGACGUGAAAUCCCCGGGCUCAACCUGGGAAUGGCGUUUGGGACUGGAAGUCUGGAGUGCGGCAGAGGAGACUGGAAUUCCUGGUGUAGCAGUGAAAUGCGUAGAUAUCAGGAGGAACACCGAUGGCGAAGGCAGGUCUCUGGGCUGACACUGACGCUCAUGCACGAAAGCGUGGGGAGCAAACAGG
rnacentral:rRNA from 1 species